ACCUAUCACCAUGUGCUGUCUGUUUUGGAUGAACUGAGAGGAGAAAGUAAAUUAAAUAGAUUGGAGUUCUGUGGCACAAAGUUGCCCGUGAGUCACGAAAGAGUUAACCCUGGGCUUGGACGCGUGCAGGAUGGGAAUUGUAGGCGGAAAGGAUGCUGGGAGAUGUCGUAAAACUCUUUGCAGCCGCUUCCUGUAAUGGCCGAUCGCAGGGACAUAGCGGAGGGUGCCUUUCGUUUCUCUGGCAAAAACGCCGCGUUCAGUGAUCGACGUGCAGCUGGGGGGCUGCCCCAAGUUAUACGUGUCUGGGGAUAUGUUGUCAUUGAUUAAGUGGCAAAGGACGCUUUCAGAAGGAGCAGAUUGCUUGGGGUGUCUCUGGUAUUGGUGGAAAUGUCAUGAUUCUGGUUGCUGACGGACUCUCGUGUUCUGUGCUUUUAUUUUCCUGGAGGGAAACAAAAAUCUGCAAUGCUAUUCACAGGUUUUUAAAAUUUAUAUCUUGAUUUAAAUACUCAGCUAAGUUGCUUAUAUCACUUGCUAGGAUCUGGGUGCACUGGCUAAUCAGCUGAGGAGAAUGGUGGGCCUUGUGUUUUGCCAAAGUAGUCGCAUGGUUAAACCAGUUAAGAACAUUCCUGUGUUUCAAAAUGGUUUGUACGUAUUUCAUAUACAGGAGAAUGGAGUCUCCUUAGAGGUAGGUCUAAAAAACGCACACAUACUAAGAAAAUUGUGAGAUUUUGGUUGAAAUAGGUAUUACAAAGAUAGGCAGUAUUGUGAUUUGUAUUUAUGAAAUAAUUAUUCUUCCAAGUUAAUAGCCUUACAAAUGUAAACACUGUUAAAGCUAAGGUUGGUUAGAGGCAAACAUAUAUGAUUUUUUGCAUGUGAAGUGCAUAGCGGAGCACUGAACCUAAAGGGUUAUAUUUAGAAUUCCAUUUGGGAUGUGGUAAAACAGAAUUUUGUAUUCAUUGGUGAUUUGUGGCCUCUUCCUAACUAUUUUAGUUUGGCAUCAGUUAUAGCAAAGCCCUCAUAAGUGCCUAUACCAACCAACCCUAUUCCUAUACAAUUCCCUUUUCAGUCUCUUGUUGCUCUUACCUUAUGUGUAAUUUAGAACAGGAAAAAAAACCAGACUAAAUGAAAAAAGGAGAGUGAUGGAGCUAAUGUUUGCAAUAAAGCUUGACAUCUAGAUCUUAAAAACAUGCAGUAAAUUAUUUUUGUUUUCAUUGGAUUUGUUUUGUGAUAUGUUUUAAGGUCAAGGCCUGAAAAGGAAACUGUAUCCAUUUAUCUGUCAGUAGAGCUUAAACAUAAAAAGGCGAUUUAGCAUCUGGUCAGCUAUAAUGUUCAUACUGAUUGUGUUCCAUUGGAGAGCAGUAAGCCAACCCUGAAAGCCCUUUGAUAGCUGAAGCCAGUUUCAAAUGAGGGGGAAUAAACAUUUAAGACCUAACUCUGUCUGCUAAGUGUCUUUGGAGCAUGAUGUAUUAUGUUUGAAAAGGACCGGGCUAGCCUGUGAGUGUUAUAAAUAACUGGUGUUACUUUGUCAACUUAAAAAUCCUAGAAGAAAACAUUGAUUUAGAUUGAAACUAGGCUAGUCAUGUUUAGCUGCACUGGAACUGAUGGGACAUGUCAGUCACAAAUAACUCCAAUUAACUUCAGUAGGACUGAUUAAGUUAAUCUGAAUCUAGCCUGUAAUAUUUUAGACCAUUAACUAUGAGUGUUCAUACAGGGAAAUGUAAGGAAGUUGAGUAAUUGUGAAUCCUUCUUUGUCACCUGUUGUCAUACAGAUCAGAAACCAAUGUGUUAUUGUUCUGCAUGAAAUAAUCAUACCUAUAUGUUUAACGAUUACUUAUAUUUAUGAAUCCAGUAGCCAGCUAUUGAAUCACAACCUCAGAUUUUGCAAGCAAGAGCAGAACCACAACAAAAGAAGAGAAAAUCAAAGGAAGAAAUGUUCAGUGUUUGGUAGAACAGUAAAAAGUUAAUUGCUUGAUUCCCAUUUCUGCUUUAGGUAAUACUGUUUAUACAUACAUUGCAUUGGAUCCAAAGACCUAUGAAUGGAAGGAAAAUAGUUAUUAGUGCUGUUUUGACAACCUUUGCACAAAAGCUCACACAGUGUUAAAUACUUUGGAAACAACUUUAAACCACAGUAAAGAACAAUCUUACCUGAUGCCAUCCAAGUAUGUAGACUACAACUUCAUCAAUCUGGUGUUCUGCAGGUGUGUUGGCUGGGUCAUCCUGGGAUACCUGGAGGUCACCAGGUUGGGAAGACUGGUACAAGGAAGUGGUUUUCCCAGCUUCCCUUGUGCAAUUAAUCUUUCAGAAGUGCUUCAUAAGAACCAUGACACUAAGGAAACUUAAGUGUAAGUAGCUUUUUCCUUAGUAUUAUGCUUCCCUCUACUUGUAGAGUAGCAUAUUUUGCCACACCCAAAAUAUGAGCAAUGGAACCAUAUGCAUGGUUACUGAAGUCUCAUUGAGUUCAAUGGGACUUACUCCCAGGUAAGUGGAUUUCGGACUAAGUGAGCAAAAACUUGCCAAGAUGAUGGAUGACAAGAUGCUGCAUUAUGGGUGAGCAGGGAAGUCUGGCCUUCAGCCUAGAACAUACAUCAGAAUACUCAGUGUGGACCCGAAAAGGACCAACAAAAUAAAACACAUUUACCUCAAAGACUCACUGAUCUCAGUGGUACUUUUUACACAGCUUACUCUGAAGUAAAUAUUGUGGGAUCUCAGGCUGCAUAAACAAGUUUAACAGACUUCUUGGCAAGAUAGCUGGCUUUUGUUUGAAUUCUAAGGAAAAAUACAGUCAGACUCUUCAGUACACAGAAAUAACCCUGGUCAUGACUAUAUACAGGAAAGUUUAUAAUAUGAAAAUGUAGUUCUGUUUAUUCUUGUUACUGUACUUUGUCUUUUCAAUAAAAGGUUGACAAUAUA